AAUUCGCAAGUAUAAACUGCAAGUAUGCUGCAUUACUUGGAGAUUAUAGUUUUGUUCUGAAGCAUAAACAACGCAGGUUGUUAAAGUGAAAUAAGCCAUCUCAAGGUCUGUUAGCAAGAAGAAAUAGGUGUCAAGUGCUGGGUAUGGUCGCAAUCUGAACUGUUCAAAGGUGCAAUCAUCCAUCUUUGGGGCUUCUAUCUCAACCUGGUCGUCUUCUUUACAUUUCAGCAUAUGCAGUGAAAAAUUCUAUGCAAACUCUGAAGGCAAGUGAUUGGCAUCUUGAAGGUGCUAGGAGCAUUUAAUAUAUUCUAC